UGAAGGUGAAGUCGUAACAAGGUUUCCGUAGGUGAACCUGCGGAAGGAUCAUUACCGAGUGCGGGUCCUUUGGGCCCAACCUCCCAUCCGUGUCUAUUGUACCCUGUUGCUUCGGCGGGCCCGCCGCUUGUCGGCCGCCGGGGGGGCGCCUCUGCCCCCCGGGCCCGUGCCCGCCGGAGACCCCAACACGAACACUGUCUGAAAGCGUGCAGUCUGAGUUGAUUGAAUGCAAUCAGUUAAAACUUUCAACAAUGGAUCUCUUGGUUCCGGCAUCGAUGAAGAACGCAGCGAAAUGCGAUAACUAAUGUGAAUUGCAGAAUUCAGUGAAUCAUCGAGUCUUUGAACGCACAUUGCGCCCCCUGGUAUUCCGGGGGGCAUGCCUGUCCGAGCGUCAUUGCUGCCCUCAAGCCCGGCUUGUGUGUUGGGUCGCCGUCCCCCUCUCCGGGGGGACGGGCCCGAAAGGCAGCGGCGGCACCGCGUCCGAUCCUCGAGCGUAUGGGGCUUUGUCACAUGCUCUGUAGGAUUGGCCGGCGCCUGCCGACGUUUUCCAACCAUUCUUUCCAGGUUGACCUCGGAUCAGGUAGGGAUAGCCGCUGAACUCAAGCAUAUCAAUAAGCGGAGGAAAU
rnacentral:rRNA from 1 species